rnacentral:rRNA from 1 species
GAUGAACGCUGACAGAAUGCUUAACACAUGCAAGUCAACUGUUGCUGACGUGUGAGUAACGCGUAAAGAACUUGCCUCACAGCUAGGGACAACAUUUGGAAACGAAUUCUAAUACCUGAUACUGUGAGAGAGCUUUGCGUCCCAUUGGCUAGUUGGAGAGGUAACGGCUCAUCAAGGCGAUGAUGGGUAGCCGGCCUGAGAGGGUGAUCGGCCACAAGGGGACUGAGACACAGCCCUUACUCCUACGGGAGGCAGCAGUAGGGAAUAUUGGACAAUAGACCAAAGUCUGAUCCAGCAAUUCUGUGUGCACGAUGAAGUUUUCGGAAUGUAAAGUGCUUUGAGUUGGGAAGCGGUACCAACAGAAGAAGUGACGGCUAAAUACGUGCCAGCAGCCGCGGUAAUAC